UUUCCGUAGGUGAACCUGCGGAAGGAUCAUUAAUGGGAAAUCAAAUCAAAUCAAAACAAAUGUUCUGUUGCACUGGGUGUGCUGUGUGGUGGUGGUGUGAGACAUGGAGAUUCAAUCAUUGGAGAUUCAAUCAUUGGAGAUUCAAUCAUUGGAGAUUCAAUCAUUGGAGAUUCAAUCAUUCAAUCUCAAUCAUUGGAGAUUCAAUCAUUCAAUCUCAAUCAUUCAAUCUCAAUCAUUCAAUCUCAAUCAUCGCCACACAACACAACUAUCUAUCACACUCGAUCAACAACAACACACUCACACACAACAGCAAACAACUUUUAACAAUGGAUCUCUUGGCUCUA
rnacentral:misc_RNA from 1 species